rnacentral:rRNA from 1 species
UACGUAGGUGGCAAGCGUUGUCCGGAAUUACUGGGCGUAAAGGGCGUGUAGGCGGUUUUUUAAGUCAGGCGUGAAAACUAUGGGCUUAACCGAUAGAUUGCGUUUGAGACUGAGAGACUUGAGGAUCGGAGAGGGCAGUGGAAUUCCCAGUGUAGCGGUGAAAUGCGUAGAUAUUGGGAGGAACACAAGUGGCGAAGGCGACUGCCUGGACGACACCCGACGCUGAGGCGCGAAAGCUAGGGGAGCAAACGGG